AAUAAACCAAUCUUUUACUUUUUAUCUAUAAUGUUUGACUCUUCGUCUUAUUUAAAAAAAAUUACGAUUAAUAUUUUUGUUUUUAUUAGAUGAUAAAUUGUGAAUAGUAUUUUACGUGUGACUAUUUUUUAUAAAAUUUUUUAAAAAUUUUUCAAAUAAGACGGAUAGUCAAACGCUGGACACGCAAACCUAAAGUUUGUCUUAUU
rnacentral:pre_miRNA from 1 species